ACCCCUGAAGCUCUGAUGGUUGAGCCCGGUCAAGAAGCCGGUGGAGCUGGUUCGAAUCCAGCCGGGGGUA
rnacentral:tRNA from 1 species